GCUUUAGAUCCACCUAGAGGAGCCUGUUCUAGAACCGAUAACCCCCGUUCAACCUCACCUUUCCUUGUUUUUCCCGCCUAUAUACCGCCGUCGUCAGCUUACCCUCUGAAGGUCUAAUAGUAAGCAAGACUGGUACAACCUAAAACGUCAGGUCGAGGUGUAGCGUAUGGAAGGGGAAGAAAUGGGCUACAUUCGCUACUACAGCGAAUACGGAGGGUGUACUGAAACGUACACCUGAAGGAGGAUUUAGCAGUAAGCAGGAAAUAGAGCGUCCCGCUGAAAUCGGCCCUGAAGCGCGCACACACCGCCCGUCACUCUCCCCGAAAACACCCACUCAGUUAAUUAAAACCUAAUAAUCAUAGAGGGGAGGCAAGUCGUAACAUGGUAAGUGUACCGGAAGGUGCACUUGGAAAAAUC
rnacentral:rRNA from 1 species